rnacentral:rRNA from 1 species
UGCAUGUCUUAGAACGAGGGAUCUCUCCGAAUCUGCGAAAGGCUCCGUAUAUCUGUUCUGACCCGCCGUCCACCACCGAGGUAGCGGAUACCCCCGGUAAUUCUGAGGUUAAUACGUGCAAUCGGGCGCCCUGUGAGCAACGGGGCGCCCCCAGGCUUGGACCACGCAGCGCCGGGGCGGUGUUCAUCGCCAGCAUUGAGCUGGGGCAGCCCGGGGAGGGCGGGGGGCGCCUUGAGCGCCCACCGCCGCCCCGCGGCCCCCCCGGGCAAAGACGUGAGGGAGUCCAAGUUCCUGGACCGCCUCCCAGCGAGGCGGCCGGACGGCGGGGGCCAGACCUAUCA